rnacentral:rRNA from 1 species
GGCCAUGUUGGUUAACAGAUCCUCAUCUGCUGGACGUCUGGCGAUGAUCUUUAUCGGUUGUCGUCAGUUGCCAGCACGUUUACUUUGAGAAAAUUAGAGUGCUAAAAGCAGGCUCACGCCUAUAUAUAUUGCAUGGAAUAAUGAAAUAAGAUCUCGAUUUUAUUUCGUUGGUUUUAGAAAUUGAGAUAAUGAUUAAUAGGAUCAGAGGGGGGCGUACGUACUGUGGUGUGAGAGGUGAAAUUCUUGGAUCGCCACAGGACGAACAGCAGCGAAGGCGUUCGCCAAGAAUGUUUUCAUUAAUCAAGAACGAAAGUUUGAGGUUCGAAGACGAUUAGAUACCGUCCUAGUUCAAACCAUAAACGUUGCCAACUGUCUUUUAGAUGCGGUUAUUUAUAUGACUCAUCUGGCGGAUCUCGAGAAAUCUAAGUUUUUAGGUUCCGGGGGAAGUAUGGUUGCAAAGCUGAAACUUAAAAGAAUUGACGGAAGGACACACAAGAAGUGGAGCCUGUGGCCUAAUUUGACUCAACACGGGAAACCUUACUCGGCCAGGACACUUUUAGGAUUGACAGAUUGAGAGCUCUUUCUUGAUUAGGUAGGUGGUGGUGCAUGGUCGUUCGUAGUUCGUGGAGCGAUUUGUCUGAUUAAUUUCGAUAACGAACGAGACUCCGGCUUACUAAAUAGUCUAAAGUUCGAAGGGACUUUUCAAGACUUCUUAGCAGGAUAAGUGG